GGACCCUUCAUGAAAUACCUAAAAAAUCGAUUUUUCGCCUGCGACUACUCGAUUUCUGCACUCUCUCGUGCCAUCCAAUUGGCUCUUCUUCAGAAAUAUCUCGAGGAUCCCCUCUGGCGAGAAGAUGCUCACGACGCAGAGCUCCAAAAAUACGACCGUGUGCUCCGUGUGUUUCUCGAAGAAUUUGGUGAAAAUCCGGCCGAAAUCGACGAAAAAUUGGCUGAAAAUCUGCGAUGCCACGUGGAAAUUCAGUCGGAUGGCGGCGAUUUUUGGACGAAAAUUCGCCACGAAUCGAUAUUUCAAGAACGAAAAUCUGCGAUUUUUGACGGAAAUUCCACCAAUUUGCACUCAUUUUUGCGUCGAUUUUUGGCAAAAAUCACUCCAAUUGACCCAAAAUUCUGUGAAAAAUUGGAAAAUCUACGCGAAAAUCUGAUCUCCGCUGAGCAAAACCCAGAAAAGUCGGAAAUUUCGCCGGAAAAAUCGAUAACAACGACACAAAAAAUGAGCUUCCUGGAGAUGCAGAAGCAGCGCCGAUCGGCUAUGACGGCCAAGCAGCAGAACCCACUGAGAAGUGCGAAAAGUGCGAUUUUUUCGCAUGUUAUG
rnacentral:sRNA from 1 species